CGAAAGCCUGACGGAGCAACGCCGCGUGGGGGAUGAAGGCCUCUGGGCUGUAAACCUCUUUUCUCAAGGAAGAAGAUCUGACGGUACUUGAGGAAUAAGCCACGGCUAAUUCCGUGCCAGCAGCCGCGGUAACACGGGAGUGGCGAGCGUUAUCCGGAAUUAUUGGGCGUAAAGCGUCCGCAGGCGGCCUUUCAAGUCUGCUGUUAAAUCGUGGAGCUUAACUCCAUCAUGGCAGUGGAAACUGUUGGGCUCGAGUGUGGUAGGGGCAGAGGGAAUUCCCGGUGUAGCGGUGAAAUGCGUAGAUAUCGGGAAGAACACCAGUGGCGAAGGCGCUCUGCUGGGCCAUUACUGACGCUCAUGGACGAAAGCCAGGGGAGCG
rnacentral:rRNA from 1 species